GUCGAGAAUCUUCCGCAAUGCGCGAAAGCGUGACGGAGCGACAGCGCGUGAUGGAUGAAGUCCUUCGGGGCGUAAACAUCUUUUAUAAAGGAGGAAAUUUUUGACGUUACUUUAUGAAUAAGGGGCUCCCAAUCUCGUGCCAGCAGGAGCGGUAAUACGAGAGCCUCAAGCGUUAUCCGGAAUCAUUGGGCGUAAAGGGUGCGUAGGUGGUUUGAUUAGUCUCCCGUUAAAACUUCGAGCUUAACUCGAAAAGAGCGGGGGAAACGGUCAAACUAGAGUAUGUGAGAGGUGUGUGGAACUCAUGGUGUAGGGGUGAAAUCCGUUGAUAUCAUGGGGAACACCAAAAGCGAAGGCAGCACACUGGCACAUCACUGACACUGAGGCACGAAACCUAAGGUAGCGAAUGGGAUUAGAAACCCCAGUAGUCC
rnacentral:rRNA from 1 species